rnacentral:snRNA from 1 species
GGUUGUGAGAGCAAUCUGGCUGCGACACCGCCUUGAUGGCCAGGGUUGAUUCGGCUUAUCUGGCUGGCUAGGCGGGUGUCCCCUUCCUCCCUCACCGCUCCAUGUGCGCCCCUCCCGAAGCUGCGCGCUCUGUUGAAGAGGACUACCUUCCCGGAUAGAAGGAGGACCGUCCUUCGGUCAAGGCUAUAUGAGUAGCUGUGCUCCCCCGCUAGAACCUCCAAACAAGUCUCAAGACUGUUGUUUGUGAUGCAGUGAUUUGCUUCUGACUCUGAUGCCAACUGCGUUACCACAGUAGCUUUUCUU